UUGGAGGGCAAGUCUGGUGCCAGCAGCCGCGGUAUUCCAGCUCCAAUAGCGUAUAUUAAAGUUGUUGCAGUUAAAAAGCUCGUAGUUGAAUUUCGGGAUCAAUGUUUCGGUCAUGCCGUUGGUAUGUACUGAUAUUAUUGGUUUCUCACCUUCUAAAGAACCGUAAUGCCAUUAAUUUGGUGUCACGGGGAAUUAGGACUGUUACCUUGAAAAAAUUAGAGUGUUUAAAGCAGGCUAACGCUUGAAUACAUUAGCAUGGAAUAAUGAAAUAGGACGUUCGAUCUUAUUUUGUUGGUUUCUAAGAUUGACGUAAUGAUUAAUAGGGAUAGUUGGGGGCAUUAGUAUUCAAUUGUCAGAGGUGAAAUUCUUGGAUUUAUUGAAGACUAACUACUGCGAAAGCAUUUGCCAAGGAUGUUUUCAUUAAUCAAGAACGAAAGUUAGGGGAUCGAAGACGAUCAGAUACCGUCGUAGUCUUAUCCAUAAACUAUGCCGACUAGGGUCGGAUGAUGUUAAUUUUUUAAUGACUCAUUCGGCGCCUUACGGGAAACCAAAGUGUUUGGGUUC
rnacentral:rRNA from 1 species